rnacentral:rRNA from 1 species
UACGAAGGGGGCUAGCGUUGCUCGGAAUCACUGGGCGUAAAGCGCACGUAGGCGGAUUGUUAAGUCAGGGGUGAAAUCCUGGAGCUCAACUCCAGAACUGCCUCCGAUACUGAGAGUCUUCGAGUCCGGGAGAGGUGAGUGGAACUGCGAGUGUAGAGGUGAAAUUCGUAGAUAUUCGCAAGAACACCAGUGGCGAAGGCGGCUCACUGGCCCGGUACUGACGCUGAGGUGCGAAAGCGUGGGAGCAAACAGG